AUCCCUGGGCCUGGGCCUACCUAGGUGAAGACAGGCAUUUUUGUUUUCCUGCCCGGAUGUUGCAUUUCCCAAGACCACCCUGGCCUGCCAUGCCCUCAUCCUGUGCCUUUAAAAACCCCCGAGACCCUGGCAGGCAGACGCACAAGCAGCUGGACAUUGAGAGGAGCAUAUAGGCAGAGAAUACAGGGGCUGCUGGAUGUCGAAAGGAACGCACCAGCAUAGGAGCACACCGGCAUGCUGGCAGGCCAUUGACCAGCGGAAGAAUGCAGAGUUUGUCGCGGGAGGUCAGAGAAGAGUCAGGCCGCCAUACCUGACUCCAGGAGAAAACCGUCUCCCUUCUGGUUCCCCCGUCUGCCGAGAGCUACUUCCACUCAAUAAAACUUUCCACUCAUUCUUCAAGCCCACGUGUGAUCCAAUUCUUCCCGUACACCAAGGUCUCGCUGUGUUUCCCAGGCUGGGUGCAGUGGCUAUUCAAAGGUACAAUGAUAGCUCACUGCAGCCUGGAACUCCUGGACUCAAGCGAUCCUCCUGCCUCAGCUGCGACUAACAGUGCUGGUAAUGAUGUAUACCUGGCAGCUGACCGUCAAAUCUUAUGAAGGAUUAAAACAUAAAGUUUGCAUUAAAGGUCAAAACAGUCACAAGCCUGCUCAAAUUCGGAAAGAGGGGACGGAAAUGGAACCUCUUCAUGGGAGGAAGAAACAGGGUCUUGCUCUGUUGCCCUGGCUGGAGUGCAAUGGUAUGAUCAUAGCUCACAGUAGCCUUGAACUCCUGGGCCCAAGCCAUCCUCCUACCUCAGCAACCAGAGUAGCUGGGAUUACAGGCGAAUGCCACCACACCUGGAAUUGGAAAAAUGAAUGUAAUUUGACAUAUGUCUUGAGUCUGGUUGGCUUCUGAGGAACUUGUGUGCAUCUCAUCAGUAUGCAUCUUAAGAACUGAAAUGACCCUACUUCAGCAUUGUGAGAAGACAUGCAUUCUCUUCGUAUAAAUAAUGUGGAUCUUACAUGUAAAGUAUUAUAAAGAUUAGCUGUUUAACAACUUAAAUAAGCUUGUGAAUAAUAAAUUAAUAACAAUGUUAUGCUAAUACGUAACUAUGAUAUUUGCUGAACAAAAUAAAUUUGCCUACUUUGGAAGCAGAUUGGGUGGUUUAAUAUAUCAGCAAAAGAGUGUUUUUAAAAAAUAUCAAAGUUCUGUUAAUCAAAACGUUUAUUGUAGGACAGUUAGUAAUGUUUUGUUUGCCAACUUAUAUUACAAAGUCUCUGUCUUAAGUGUUUCCUUGCAAAUAAAAUGACAAUACUGCCU
rnacentral:lncRNA from 1 species